UUGACUAGAUUCCUGGGUUUGAAUCUCCACAUAUAUGCCUGUAAAACUGUUCCUCCUUCCAUCGCGAUGGACACAACGACCCUUUAUGAAAUGUUCAUCUGUCUGUUGUUCGUAUUAAUGUAGUUCCUCUACUGACAGGGUCUAAAGGUGGAAUUUGCUUGAAAGGUUUAUUUUUCAUACUAAUGGAAGUUAUUGAAGUGAUCGAUGUCUCGGUUGUCUCAUCAGUUUGUAGCAUAGUGAUGCGUUUAGAGGCAGUAUGAUUAAGUCUCGUGACCCUUCUAGUGGCAUUCUAUUGCAGUGUUACAUAGUGGAAUGGCUCUAGUUUCCAAACAGCCACUGUGAUGUCUUCCUGGGUUUUCCUCUUGUAGCCUAUUGACCAUUCAUACAACAUCUACAGAUUGAUGCCAGGUCUGCCUUGAAUCGAACUGGAAACCACAGUGCUCGCGGUGGUCAGCAGUGUUGUCUUAUUGUCCUGCAUCCUGUUUGAAAGGAUUUUAAAUAGUGACUUAUGAACAUCCGACUCUAUUGAUGUGAGAGCUGAUUAUACCACAGGGAAGUGAUAUAAUCGCUGGACUGUCAGACUGGAUGCAUGCACACACUUGUAAUUGACCUUCACAGAAUAAAGGUCAAUUUAGAAAAACUUACUUUGCUGACAGAACGACAGAUCAGCAGCAUUGCAUCCUGGGAAGUGAGCUUUAACAUUUGAAAUCGGUGGUUUAUAUGACAGUGAGGUAUUAUUCAGUGAGGUCUAGAUCGGGAAACCAUGGAACAUGGUGUGUGUGUCAUUCACAUAAACUUCAGGAAUACUACAGAGACAUAGAAACAUUGUAUGUUGCGAACUUGUGGAUCUUAACAAAAUGGGCUCGGACUUAGUCGUGAUGAUUCUCGGAGAGUGCGUCCGAAGGAUCGAUGGGCCUCUGCGGAGAGCUUCUUCAAAAGCAGGACAUUCCAGGUCAGAAAUGAGAGUCUACCAGAUCUAAGUCGAAGUUUGGACUUUGAACCAG